rnacentral:rRNA from 1 species
UACGGAGGAUGCAAGCGUUAUCCGGAAUGAUUGGGCGUAAAGCGUCCGCAGGUGGCUGUGUAAGUCUGCUGUUAAAGAGCAAGGCUCAACCUUGUAAAGGCAGUGGAAACUACACGGCUAGAGUGCGUUCGGGGCAGAGGGAAUUCCUGGUGUAGCGGUGAAAUGCGUAGAGAUCAGGAAGAACACCGGUGGCGAAGGCGCUCUGCUGGACCUUAACUGACACUGAGGGACGAAAGCUAGGGGAGCGAAUGGG